rnacentral:rRNA from 1 species
UACGAAGGGGGCUAGCGUUGCUCGGAAUCACUGGGCGUAAAGCGCACGUAGGCGGACUCUUAAGUCGGUGGUGAAAUCCUGGAGCUCAACUCCAGAACUGCCUUUGAUACUGGCGAUCUCGAGUCCGGGAGAGGUGAGUGGAACUGCGAGUGUAGAGGUGAAAUUCGUAGAUAUUCGUAAGAACACCAGUGGCGAAGGCGGCUCACUGGCCCGGUACUGACGCUGAGGUGCGAAAGCGUGGGGAGCAAACAGG